CAGUCGCCGCGGGAAUACGGAGGGUGCAAGCGUUAAUCGGAAUUACUGGGCGUAAAGCGCACGCAGGCGGUCUGACAAGUCAGAUGUGAAAUCCCCGGGCUUAACCUGGGAACUGCAUUUGAAACUGUCAGGCUGGAGUCUUGUAGAGGGGGGUGGAAUUCCAGGUGUAGCGGUGAAAUGCGUAGAGAUCUGGAGGAAUACCGGUGGCGAAGGCGGCCCCCUGGACAAAGACUGACGCUCAGGUGCGAAAGCGUGGGGAGCAAACAGGAUUAGAUACCCCGGUAGUCCAUGUCUCUUAUAC
rnacentral:rRNA from 1 species